rnacentral:rRNA from 1 species
UACGGAGGGUGCAAGCGUUAUCCGGAUUUACUGGGUUUAAAGGGUGCGUAGGUGGGUCUGUAAGUCAGUGGUGAAAUCUCCGAGCUUAACUCGGAAACUGCCGUUGAUACUAUAGGUCUUGAAUUAUCUGGAGGUAAGCGGAAUAUGUCAUGUAGCGGUGAAAUGCUUAGAUAUGACAUAGAACACCAAUUGCGAAGGCAGCUUACUACGGAUAUAUUGACACUGAGGCACGAAAGCGUGGGGAUCAAACAGG